CUAUACAUGACUCUGCGCAUAUCAAUAAGCGGAGGAAAAGAAACUAACAAGGAUUCCCUUAGUAACGGCGAGUGAAGCGGGAAGAGCUCAAAUUUGAAAUCUUCAAGGUUCUACCUUGACGAAUUGUAGUUUAUAGAAGUGUUUUCUGUUAGUAGAGUGGCAAAAGUUCUUUGGAAUAGGACAUCAUAGAGGGUGAGAAUCCCGUAUUUGGUCAUUCUUUCUAGCUUUGUGAUACACUUUCAACGAGUCGGAUUGUUUGGGAAUGCAGUCCAAAAUGGGUGGUAAAUUUCAUCUAAAGCUAAAUAUUGGCGAGAGACCGAUAGCGAACAAGUACCGUGAGGGAAAGAUGAAAAGAACUUUGAAAAGAGAGUUAAACAGUACGUGAAAUUGUCAAAAGGGAAGCGUUUGACACCAGUGUUGUUUUUCCGAAAAUCAAUUACGAAUGUUUUAUUUUUGAGAAGUUAUGACUUCAUCGGCUUGCUUCUCUCUUUAUGAAACUUUCUUAAUGCACUUUUCGGUUAACAAGUCAACAUCAAUUUCUUUUGUUGUAAAAGGGUAUGAGGAAGGUGGCUUUCUUUUCGGAGAAAGUGUUUAUAGCCUUGUACCUCUGCAAUCGGAGAGAUUGAGGUCUGCAGCGUAGAUCCUUCUGGGUUAGAUACAUUUGUGCUAAGUUAUAGCUUUUCAUAGACAACUUGUUGACUAUGUUUAGUCUUGUAGCUUACUCGCUUAUGCUAUUUUACCUACGCUUAGGAUGUUGAUAGUCACAGCGUGUAC
rnacentral:rRNA from 1 species